rnacentral:lncRNA from 1 species
CAUAAGCAAAAAAUGCUUCUGGAAUGGUUUUUCUGGAAACAUUUUUGCUUAUGGAAUGACCUUUCCGGAAGUGCAUCUUGUAUCUUCCGGAAUGAUCGUUCCGGAAGUGCAUCUUGUAUCUUCCGGAAUGAUCGUUCCGGAAGCAAAGCUAUUUAUUAUUGUUAUGGAAUACGUAUUCCUGAAGGCAAAAUUAUUUUUUAUUGUUAUGGAACACUUAUUUUGGAAAUUAUUUUUUAUUGUUAUGGAACCCCUAUUCUGGAAG